UAGGGAAUAUUGCGCAAUGGGGGAAACCCUGACGCAGCAACGCCGCGUGAGUGAGGAAGGCCUUCGGGUCGUAAAGCUCUGUUCUUGGGGAAAAAUGGUUAGGGAGCUAAUACCCCCUGAUUUGAUGGUACCCAAGUAGAAAGCACCGGCUAACUUCGUGCCAGCAGCCGCGGUAAUACGAAGGGUGCAAGCGUUGUUCGGAUUUAUUGGGCGUAAAGCGCGCGCAGGCGGAUCAGCAAGUCAGAUGUGAAAUCUUAGGGCUCAACCCUGAAACUGCGUCUGAAACUGCUAGUCUAGAGUGUUGGAGGGGACAGGGGAAUUUCACGUGUAGGGGUAAAAUCCGUAGAGAUGUGAAGGAACACCGGAGGCGAAGGCGCCUGUCUAGACAACUACUGACGCUGAGGCGCGAAAGCGUGGGGAGCAAACAGG
rnacentral:rRNA from 1 species